rnacentral:lncRNA from 1 species
UUUUUCCAGCCGUAAGCCUCCCCAGUUUUUAGUCGAAAACUAUUUCCCCAAUUUUCAGAUUUUUGCGCCCUGUUCUGUUCUAUCUCUCUCAGUCUCUCUCGUUUUGCCCCCAAAUUUCACCUUCCCCAAAUUCCAGAUUUCCCUUGCUGUCGAUCUUCCAAACCUCCGUCCGCCGCCGUCCUGAAUUUUCCUCCCUUUUUCUGUCCUGUUUUCAUUUCUGAUUUUUUCUAUCCCACGAAGCCCUCUCGGCCUUUUCUCUAGCUUUUCCAUUUUUCCCAUUUUCCUCCGAUGAUGCUCCCUUUUGCUUUCUGCUAUUGUUUUUCUUCGUUUCUGCCUGCUGAAACUCCCUUUCCCAAUUUCUCUCGGCCCCUUUUUCUGUUUUUCUAUUCCUCCCCCUCAAGCUCGUCGUAGCUUUUUCCUUUUUGUUUCUGAUCUCUCUCUGUUGACCCAGUUUUCCUCCUUGCGGCUGAUGUUUUUUAUUCUAUUUAUAUGGGGCAUUCC